AUGGCAUGCUUUCCGUGUUUUCUCAUUGGAAUGAUGAUCUUCUUUGCAAAGUCGCUGUAGCCCAGUUUUCAGCUAAAACAUGCGUAGCCAAAGGGGAAGCCCUGUGAGUGCAUAGCCAGUAAAUGAAUGAACAAAAGAACAGAAACAAUGUUGGAAUAUUGCAGGGGAUGCGAUUUCUAGUUUCACUCUGUUUCAAAAUAUUUUUCUUGAAGCCCCUGCUGUGCGGGAAGCCAGCUGCCAUGUCUUGAGCUCCCUACGGAGAGACUCUGAUGUCUCCAGACACCAUCCAGCAGAGACCUGUGGCUGCCCAUAGUCACGUGAGUGAGCUUGGCAGUGGCUCCUUCCCUCGUGGAACCUUCAGAUAGAUGACUACUGCCCUGGGGGAAGCCUCAGUCGUUUACUCCUGGGAGACUCUGAGCCAUCCCCA